GAUGAACGCUGGCGGCGUGCCUAAUACAUGCAAGUCGAGCGAACAGAUGAGGAGCUUGCUCCUCUGACGUUAGCGGCGGACGGGUGAGUAACACGUGGAUAACCUACCUAUAAGACUGGGAUAACUUCGGGAAACCGGAGCUAAUACCGGAUAAUAUAUUGAACCGCAUGGUUCAAUAGUGAAAGACGGUUUUGCUGUCACUUAUAGAUGGAUCCGCGCCGCAUUAGCUAGUUGGUAAGGUAACGGCUUACCAAGGCAACGAUGCGUAGCCGACCUGAGAGGGUGAUCGGCCACACUGGAACUGAGACACGGCCCAGACUCCUACGGGGGGAAGCAGUAGGGAAUCUUCCGCGAUGGGCGAGAGCCUGACGGAGCAACGCCGCGGGAGUGAUGAAGGUCUUCGGAUCGGAAAGCUCUGUUAUUAGGGAAGAACAAAUGUGUAAGUAACUAUGCACGUCUUGACGGUACCGAAUCAGAAAGCCACGGCUAACUACGUG
rnacentral:rRNA from 1 species